GGUUGCGAUCAUACCAGCACUAAUGCACCGGAUCCCAUCAGAACUCCGCAGGUAAGCGUGCUUGGGCGAGAGUAGUACUAGGAUGGGUGACCCCCUGGGAAGUCCUCGUGUUGCAACCCC
rnacentral:rRNA from 1 species